rnacentral:rRNA from 1 species
UACGUAGGGGGCAAGCGUUAAUCGGAAUUACUGGGCGUAAAGCGUGCGCAGGCGGUGAUGUAAGACAGAUGUGAAAUCCCCGGGCUCAACCUGGGAACUGCAUUUGUGACUGCAUCGCUGGAGUGCGGCAGAGGGGGAUGGAAUUCCGCGUGUAGCAGUGAAAUGCGUAGAGAUGUGGAGGAAUACCGAUGGCGAAGGCAGCCCCCUGGGAUAACACUGACGCUCAUGCACGAAAGCGUGGGGAGCAAACAGG